GAUGAACGCUGGCGGCGUGCUUAACACAUGCAAGUCGAACGAAGCAUUUGCGACAGAUUUUUUCGGAAUGAAGUUGCUUAUGACUGAGUGGCGGACGGGUGAGUAACGCGUGGGUAACCUGCCUUGUACUGGGGGAUAGCAGCUGGAAACGGCUGGUAAUACCGCAUAAGCGCACAAUGUUGCAUGACAUGGUGUGAAAAACUCCGGUGGUAUAAGAUGGACCCGCGUCUGAUUAGCUAGUUGGUGAGAUAACAGCCCACCAAGGCGACGAUCAGUAGCCGACCUGAGAGGGUGACCGGCCACAUUGGGACUGAGACACGGCCCAGACUCCUACGGGAGGCAGCAGUGGGGAAUAUUGCACAAUGGAGGAAACUCUGAUGCAGCGACGCCGCGUGAGUGAAGAAGUAUUCGUUAUGUAAAGCUCUAUCAGCAGGGAAGAUAGUGACGGUACCUGACGAAGAAGCUCCGGCUAAAUACGUG
rnacentral:rRNA from 1 species